rnacentral:rRNA from 1 species
AUAGACCAUGAGAUCUGGAAUGACUCAUGGGUUCAAAGNUUCCGGCGCGUUUAGGAUCGGUCUGCGGCCUAUCAGGUAGUAGUGGGUGUAAUGUACCCCCUAGCCUAUUACGGGUAUGGGCCUUGAGAGAGGGAGCCCAGAGUUGGAUUCUGAGACACGAAUCCAGGCCCUACGGGGCGCAGCAGUCGCGAAAACUUCACAAUGGGCGAAAGCCCGAUGAGGGAAUUCCUAGUGCUAGCACUUUUGUGUUAGCUUUUCUUUAGCGUAGAUAACUAGAGGAAUAAGGGCUGGGUAAGACGGGUGCCAGCCGCCGCGGUAAUACCCGCAGCCCGAGUGGUGGUCGAUUUUAUUGAGUCUAAAACGUUCGUAGCCGGUCUGAUAGAUCCUUGGGUAAAUCGGGGGGCUUAACCUUCCGAAUUCCGAGGAGACCGUCAGGCUUGGGAUCGGGAGAGGUAAGAGGUACUUCAGGGGUAGGGGUAAAAUCCUGUAAUCCUUGGAGGACCACCGGUGGCGAAGGCGUCUUACUAGAACGAAUCCGACGGUGAGGGACGAAGCCCUAGGUCGCACACGGGAUUAGAUACCCCGGUAGUCUAGGGUGUAAACGCUGCANACUUGGUGUUGGAGGCCCUUCNGGGGCAUUCAGUGCCGGAGAGAAGUUGUUAAGUCUGCUACUUGGGGAGUACGUCCCGCAAGGAUGAAACUUAAAGGAAUUGGCGGGGGAGCACCGCAACGGGAGGAGCCGUGCGGUUUAAUUGGAUUUCAACACCGGGAAAACUCAUCCAANGGGAGACCAUCACAUGAAAAGCCAGGCUAAUGACUUU